UACGUAGGCAGCAAGCGUUGUUCGGAAUUACUGGGCGUAAAGAGUGUGUAGGCGGUGCUCCAAGUCUGGUGGUGAAAUCUCCCGGCUUAACUGGGAGGGUGCAUUAGAAACUGGAAUGCUAGAGGAUGGGAGAGGUAAGCGGAAUUCCUGGUGUAGCGGUGAAAUGCGUAGAUAUCAGGAGGAACACCUGUGGUGUAGGCAGCUUACUGGACCAUUUCUGACGCUGAGACACGAAAGCGUGGGUAGCAAACAGG
rnacentral:rRNA from 1 species